rnacentral:rRNA from 1 species
GAGCAGGAUGAAGCGAAAGUAAAAUUUCGUGGAGGUCCGAACCCACGAGCGUUGAAAAGCUCGGGGAUGACUUGUGGGUAGCGGUGAAAUUCCAAUCGAGCCCGGAGAUAGCUGGUUCUCCCCGAAAUAGCUUUAGGGCUAGCCUCAAGGUGAGAGAUACGGAGGUAGAGCACUGAAUGUCCUAGGGGGUAUUGCACCUACCGAAGACUAUCAAACUCCGAAUGCCGUCAUCUUAUACUUGGGAGUCAGACUGUGGGUGAUAAGAUUCAUAGUCGAAAGGGCAACAGCCCAGAUCGUCAGCUAAGGUCCCUAAAUGUAAGUUAAGUGGUAAAGGAUGUGGGAUUGCACAGACAACCAGGAUGUUGGCUUAGAAGCAGCCACUCAUUCAAAGAGUGCGUAAUAGCUCACUGGUCGAGUGAUCCUGCGCCGAAGAUUUCCGGGGCUAAAACUUACUACCGAAGCUACGGCAUCAGUAAUGAUGGGUAGGGGAGCUUCCCAUACGGGUUGAAGCAUGACCGUAAGGACAUGUGGACAGUAUGGGAGUGAGAAUGUUGGCAUGAGUAGCGAGAUGUGGGUGAGAAUCCCACAGGCCGUAAACCCAAGGUUUCCAGGGGAAGGUUCGUCCGCCCUGGGUUAGUCGGGACCUAAGCUGAGGCCGAAAGGC